rnacentral:tRNA from 1 species
UUAGGUGUGGCUCAGUGGUAGAGCACCAGUCUCAUAAGUAAGAGGCCUUGAGUUCAAACCUUAGUACCACAA